rnacentral:rRNA from 1 species
AGCAGCCGCGGUAAUUCCAGCUCCAAUAGCGUAUAUUAAAGUUGCUGCAGUUAAAAAGCUCGUAGUUGAAUUUCGGGAUCAAUAUGUUGGUCGUGCCUUGGUACGUACUAGCUCAUUGGUUUCUCCCUUCUGACGAACCAUGAUGUCAUUAAUUUGAUGUCAUGGGGAAUCAGGACUGUUACUUUGAAAAAUUAGAGUGUUUAAAGCAGGCUCGCGCUUGAAUACAUUAGCAUGGAAUAAUGAAAUAGGACAUUUGAUUCUAUUUUGUUGGUUUCUAGGAUCGAUGUAAUGAUUAAUAGGGAUAGUUGGGGCAUUAGUAUUCAAUUGUCAGAGGUGAAAUUCUUGGAUUUAUUGAAGACUAACUACUGCGAAAGCAUUUGCCAAGGAUGUUUUCAUUGAUCAAGAACG